UGUUAUUGAGGAUUUUUUUUACCUGGAGCAGUCUACAGACGUCCUCCCCCAGGAUCUAUUCUUUAACUUCUCAUCUAAGCUUGUAGACUCUGUGGCUUAUGUCUGGCAAGAAAUAACUGAUAGAAUCCAAUGCUCCACUCAGGGGCUGUUUAGAAAGUGUAAUCUCAGUGUCCUGCUGCAAGCUUUUCUCCUUUUCUUUUCCACUUAAAAGGCAAAGGUCACCAGGUGUUGAGUUGCUUAAAAAAGAUGCACAAAUGGACAGUGUGCACAAAUUUACCAACUGCUCAAAGACCGUCUCACUCACCCACUCUCUAUUCAGCCUUCCACAUCAAGACUUUCAAGACUCAUUUUCACCUUCACCCUGUGAAGAAUAGAUCCAUGCCCAGGGUAGAAAUAAAUGAAAUGAGUUGGGAAAUUUUAAGUAACAAUCAGCGAGUUCUUGGUUUACUCAUAUAAGUUAUUUUCUGAGAACAAAAUUAUAUUUUCCACAGUCACACAAACCGUUAUAGAGCAGCUUG